rnacentral:tRNA from 1 species
GGAGAGAUGUCCGAGUGGCUUAAGGGGCACGCUUGGAAAGCGUGUAGGUUCUUUAAGGGCCUCGGGGGUUCGAAUCCCCCUCUCUCCGCCA